UCUCUGUAAGUCAGUUCACUCUAAAAUGC
rnacentral:piRNA from 1 species